AUUUGACAAUCGUGUCACAUUUCGUUGAACGUUUGACAUUUCGAAACUCAGCCACGGAACUCCGACGCAUUAAAUGUUUGUUGUUUUUCAACGAAAAUUACCCAUUAUUAUUAUGUCUUGAAACAUUAUAACCGGUCAGCGGAUUAGUUUCAACUGAUUUUUAUAACAUUUCAACCACACGCGGCGUGCCAGUAGUACGUACCUACGUAAAACGAAAAUAUUCCAAAAUGGCCGACUGGAAACAUCAAGGAUUAUACAGUUUAUUAAUUUGUUACUAGUUGUUACUCGCGGCAUCGUCCGCGUGGUUAAGGAAAAAUACUCAUUGUAUUUUCCCGUGGGAAUGAGAUGAUUUUUCAGGAUAAGCGGUAGCCUAGUAGUUACUCUGUCAAGAAAAUACCGGGAAAACGUUAUUAAUACACAAAAUUCAAACGGAUUCUUAUAUUUAUACAAAUCUAAAACUUUAGAUUUCCGAGACUUCGAGGAAGGGAAAAAGGAAGAUAUGUUCCCGCCAAAAGUCUGUCAAAUGUCAAUCUCAAACCUCAGUGUUGACAGUCACAUUAUGUUUAGAUUUCUAAAUUGUAAAUGACUAAUAUUUUGCCAAUUGAAUUGACUAAUUUAAUUUCAUGGUAUUUGAUUAAUGUUCCAAAA